AGUGAACGCUGGCGGUAGGCCUAACACAUGCAAGUCGAACGGCAGCACAGUAAGAGCUUGCUCUUACGGGUGGCGAGUGGCGGACGGGUGAGGAAUACAUCGGAAUCUACUUUUUCGUGGGGGCUAACGUAGGGAAACUUCCGCUAAUACCGCAUACGACCCACGGGUGAAGGCAGGGGUUCUUCGGACCUUGCGCGAUUGAAUGAGCCGAUGUCGGCUUAGCUAGUUGGCGGGUUAAAGGCCACCCAAGGCGCCGAUCCGUAGCUGGUCUGAGAGGAUGAUCAGACACACUGGAACUGAGACACAGUCCAGACUCCGAGGGGAGGCAGCAGUGGGGAAUAUUGGACAAGGGGGGCAAGCCUGAUCCAGCAAUACCGCGUGAGUGAAGAAGGCCUUCGGGUUGUAAAGCCCUUUUGUUGGGAAAGAAAAGCAGCAGGUUAAUACCCCGCUGUACUGACGGUACCCAAAGAAUAAGCACCGGCUAACUUCGUG
rnacentral:rRNA from 1 species